rnacentral:lncRNA from 1 species
UUAUAGAAUCCAAUGAUCUCCUUUUUGAUAUCUUCAGCUGUAGUGAUUUUGGUACCCAUUGCAUUUGUAAGUUCAGUAAUCUGGUUAUGUUGAGUUCUCUCCUUCAUGACUGCAGAGAAAUAUUUAAUGUUGGAAUCUCCAAGCUGUAUCCAUUUUGCUAUGGCCUUCUGCUGCAGAACACUUUCCUCAAUCAUUGACCAUUUUUCCAGUUUCAGCACAAUCUCUUUCUCCUUCUACUGCUAGACAUCAGAGUAUGCCUUUGUCAUCUGAUCUUGUAUUGUCCCCAGUUCCCGUCUGCUAAGGUCUAUUCUCUGUGAGAUAGUCUUGAACUCCUUAAUAUUUAGGUCUUUCAGAGCUUUGAGUUUAGACCAUAUGGCUUUCAUGGUGCCUGAAUUGCCAGUAUGCCAAACACUUGCCACAAUCAGAUGAAAAUCUUCAUGAUCAGCCCAUACAUUAAAGAACUUGAAAGGUUUUUUCCCAUUCCAGGAAGAUGAUGUCAAUGUCACUAUCAUGAGAUUAUGAUCUGAGAUUAGAGGAUGAUCAUAUUCAGUUACCACUUGGCUCCACUUGAUCAUUCAUUCAUAGUUACCAAAUACCCUAUCCAGUCUGCUGUAUACUCUGUCCACUCCAGUCUGCUUAUUUUUCCAGGUGUAGUAUUCACCCCUCCAAGGCAAUUCUGACAAUUCAUCUUGUUGAAUACAUUUACUGAAGUCUUGGGUGUCAGGAAGUCUUACAGGUUUGCAAGACUGCCUAUCAUUGGACUAUGCCUAUUGCUCUCAGAAGGUCACUCCACUAGAUUUUUCAAAUUUUGGAUUGUCAAAUACCUAUUUUACUCUCUAAAUUAUAAAUAUUUAUCUUCUUUUUAUUUUUUUAGAAACUUUUUAGUAUUAACAACAAAAAUUCAAAAAUUUAUUUACGCAAUUCAGAAUGAAAGAAAAUAAAGUUUGUAAAAUAUAUAUUCCAUGCACGUUAUAUAAAAUAAUUAUUUAAAUAAAGGUAUUUUUAUAAUAUACAUUAUAUAUUCUUGAAAUUAUGCUCAAUUAUACUAUUAUGUUUCUACAACUUUCCGAUGAUACAAAGUUAUGUCACUGGAAAGCAGAAGAACUAUCUGUAUAGAGUAAAAUAUGCUAUUUUAAGUUAUUGCAUAAGAGGGUGAUACGAGGAACCGAAGGUAGGGGAUAGCUAAGACCGAAAAUAUCUGUUUUAUUUGUUACCGGGAAGAAUGAUGCUCAUAAAAUAAAAUAAAUGAAUGUCAC